AUGCCAUGGGAAGGUUACAAUUUUGAAGACGCAGUACUAAUUAGCGAAUGUUUGGUAUAUGAAGAUAUUUAUACCUCUUUUCACAUCCGGAAUAAAAGAAUUAGUAGGUCUGUUCCGCCCAAAAUGGGAAUGGGUGCUAGGGUUAUGAACUUAUAA
rnacentral:rRNA from 1 species